AUGCCUAGGAAAUUGCCUUGAUGUGGGGGAUAACCAUUGGAAACGAUGGCUAACACCGCAUAAUGCCUACGGGCCAAAGAGGGGGAUCUUCGGACCUCUCGCGUCAAGAUAUGCCUAGGUGGGAUUAGCUAGUUGGUGAGGUAAUGGCUCACCAAGGCGACGAUCCCUAGCUGGUCUGAGAGGAUGAUCAGCCACUCUGGAACUGAUACACGGUCCAGACUCCUACGGGAGGCAGCAGUGGGGAAUAUUGCACAAUGGGCGAAAGCCUGAUGCAUCCAUGCCGCGUGUAUGAAGAAGGCCUUCGGGUUGUAAAGUACUUUCAGUUGUGAGGAAGGGUGUGUAGUUAAUAGCUGCGCAUCUUGACGUUAGCAACAGAAGAAGCACCGGCUAACUCCGUGCCAGCAGCCGCGGUAAUACGGAGGGUGCGAGCGUUAAUCGGAAUUACUGGGCGUAAAGCGCAUGCAGGUGGUUCAUUAAGUCAGAUGUGAAAGCCCGGGGCUCAACCUCGGAACUGCAUUUGAAACUGGUGAACUAGAUGCUGUAGAGGGGGGUAGAAUUUCACGUGUAGCGGUGAAAUGCGUAGAGAUCUGAAGGAUACCA
rnacentral:rRNA from 1 species